UACAGAGGGUGCAAGCGUUGUUCGGAAUUACUGGGCGUAAAGCGCACGUAGGUGGCUUGGCAAGUCGGGUGUGAAAUCCCCGGGCUCAACCUGGGAACUGCAUUCGAGACUGCCUUGCUCGAGUAUGGGAGAGGGAAGUGGAAUUUCCGGUGUAGCGGUGAAAUGCGUAGAUAUCGGAAGGAACAUCAGUGGCGAAGGCGACUUCCUGGACCAAUACUGACACUCAGGUGCGAAAGCGUGGGGAGCAAACAGG
rnacentral:rRNA from 1 species